UCUAGUUUGUACUGAGAAAGGUGAGAUAGACAAAUGAGGACUGUCCCAGAGUUUACCAGCAGAAGGGAUGAAAGAAUGGAGAUGAUGGUUAACUCUUGCAUAGGGGAUUUGGACAGUGUAGGGGAGGAGGCAUAAGGGAGAGCUAUUUUUGUUCGAGUUUGUACUGAGAAAGGUGAGAUAGACAAACGAGGACUGUCCCAGAGUUUACCAGCAGAAGGGAUGAAAGAAUGGAGAUGACGGUUAACUCUUGCAUAGGGGAUUUGGACAGUGAGGUAAGGGAGAGCCAUUUGUUCGAGUUUGUACUGAGAAAGGUGAAACAGACUAACAAGGACUGUCCCAGAGUUUACCAGCAGAAGGGAUGAAAGGAUGGAGAUGAUGGUUAACUCUUGCAUAGGGGAUUUGGACAGUGAGGUAAGGGAGAGCCAUUUGUUCGAGUUUGUACUGAGAAAGGUGAAACAGACAAGCGAGGACUGUCCCAGAGUUUACCAGCAGAAGGGAUGAAAGAAUGGAGAUGAUGGUUAACUCUUGCAUAGGGGAUUUGGACAGUGUAGGGAGGAGGCAUAAGGGAGAGACAUUUUUUUCUAGUUUGUACUGAGAAAGGUGAAACAGACAAGCGAGGACUGUCCCAGAGUUUACCAGCAGAAGGGAUGAAAGAAUGAAGAUGAUGGUUAACUCUUGCAUAGGGGAUUUGGACACUGUAGGGGAGGAGGCAUAAGGGAGAGCUAUUUUUGUUUGAGUUUGUACUGAGAAAGGUGAGAUAGACAAACGAGGACUGUCCCAGAGUUUACCAGCAGAAGGGAUGAAAGAAUGGAGAUGAUGGUUAACUCUCGCAUAGGGGAUUUGGACACUGUAGGGGAGGAGGCAUAAGGGAGAGCUAUUUUUGUUUGAGUUUGUACUGAGAAAGGUGAGAUAGACAAACGAGGACUGUCCCAGAGUUUACCAGCAGAAGGGAUGAAAGAAUGAAGAUGACGGUUAACUCUUGCAUAGGGGAUUUGGACAGAGACAGGGAAAGGCAGGCUAGUCUACGCAUCACAGAACAUAUAUACGCAACUUGCAAGGGAAAGACAACCCUCGGCACACCAAAUACAAGGUCCAAGACUCCUUUUCCCUUGCAGCUUGUACCUUGUUCCUCCUGCAAUGUGUAACCUGUCUUUCCCAGUACAAACUAGAAAAAUAUGACUAUCCCUUCUGCCUCCUCUCUGCCAGGUCCUUCAACUAACACACAAGCUUGGAAAUCCCUUAGAAAAGAAUGACUCUCCCUUCUGCCUCCUCUCUGCCAGGUCCUUCAACUAACACACAAGCUUGCCAAUCCCUUAGAAAAGAAUGACUCUCCCUUCUGCCUCCUCUCUGCCAGGUCCUUCAACUAACACACAAGCUUGGAAAUCCCUUAAAAAAUAUGACUCUCCCUUCUGCCUCUUCCCCGCCAGGUCCUUCAACUAACACACACGCUUGGAAAUCCCUUAAAAAAUAUGACUAUCCCUUCUGCCUCCUCUCUGCCGGCUCCUUCAACUAACACAUAAGCUUGGAAAUCCCUUAGAAAAGAAUGACUCUCCCUUCUGCCUCCUCUCUGCCAGGUCCUUCAACUAACACACAAGCUUGGAAAUCCCUUAGAAAAGAAUGACUCUCCCUUCUGCCUCCUCUCUGCCAGGUCCUUCAACUAACACACAAGCUUGCCAAUCCCUUAGAAAAGAAUGACUCUCCCUUCUGCCUCCUCUCUGCCAGGUCCUUCAACUAACAGACAAGCUCGUCAAACCCUUACGUCAACUUAUAUUUACUCCCCCACAAGCACUACAAGCACUACUUUCUACUUCUCAUGGUCAGGCUACAUCCAUAAGCUUCUACAAUUCCACUACUAGACAGGUCCUUCAACUAACACACAAGCUCGGCAAUCCCUUACAUCAACAUAUAGGCUAUUUACUUCCCAACAAGCACUACAAGCUCUACUUUCUACCUCUCUCAUGGUCAGGCUACAUCCAAAGGCAUCUACAUUUCCACUACUACAUGUCUACAGCGGAACAAGGGGGAAAAAAUUAAAUGUAGUAGAUAACUAACUACUGACAUUUCCAUCUUAGAGCCCAGUGCGUCUUAUGGGGCAAGCAAUACGG